AGCGAACGCUAGCGGCAGGCCUAACACAUGCAAGUCGAACGAACUCUUCGGAGUUAGUGGCGGACGGGUGAGUAACACGUGGGAACGUGCCUUUAGGUUCGGAAUAACUCAGGGAAACUUGUGCUAAUACCGAAUGUGCCCUUCGGGGGAAAGAUUUAUCGCCUUUAGAGCGGCCCGCGUCUGAUUAGCUUGUUGGUGAG
rnacentral:rRNA from 1 species